AAAUUGUAUAUAUGUAGACACACUGAAAAACUGAUUGUAGACACACGUGGGAUUGUCUCCAAAAUUUCAGCAUGGAGAAGUGAUAUUUUGGAAACUCAUAUCAGAAAACUUUCUUCACCAAAGUUGAUCAUCUGCUCGAUUAUUAUAGGCUGUAAAAAUUUCAGAAUUUCUUGAAUUUUGUUGGAUGCCUGAACCUGCUCCACAAUGUCUGUGUUCAUUCAUGGCUGGAGCUUGCUUCAAAAUGGGGAGGGCCUCCUUCUUUGGUUGCCUUGGCACUACAACAACUUGAAUGAUGCUGGAGGACUUGAAGGUGCUGGAAACUUGUAGAGUGUAACGAACAACCGCUACUACUCCAGAAAUUUGGGUAUUUGGGCUUUCUCUAGUUCUCAGCAAGGAAUUCUCCCCCACCGAAUGACCUCAUGUAUCUAUCUUGCUUGGCAUGUUGCUUUGAAUUUUGAGAAUUGAGCAUCUCCUUUAUCUUGGCAUUGAGUGCUCUGGAUAUUUCUAAAACAUGAUUUUGAGCGAUAUUGUUGUAACAUGAUGUUGAAUGGUAUUGUUGCGAGAGCAUGAAUUCGUCAAUUUGCUUGAAAGGCAUAAA